rnacentral:rRNA from 1 species
AUUGAACGCUGGCGGAAUGCUUUACACAUGCAAGUCGAACGGCAGCACGGACUUCGGUCUGGUGGCGAGUGGCGAACGGGUGAGUAAUGUAUCGGAACGUGCCCAGUCGUGGGGGAUAACGUAGUGAAAAUUACGCUAAUACCGCAUACGAUCUAUGGAUGAAAGCGGGGGAUCGCAAGACCUCGCGCGAUUGGAGCGGCCGAUAUCAGAUUAGGUAGUUGGUGGGGUAAAGGCCCACCAGGCCAACGAUCCGUAGCUGGUCUGAGAGGACGACCAGCCACACUGGAACUGAGACACGGUCCAGACUCCUACGGGAGGCAGCAGUGGGGAAUUUUGGACAAUGGGCGAAAGCCUGAUCCAGCCAUUCCGCGUGCAGGAUGAAGGCCCUCGGGUUGUAAACUGCUUUUGUACAGAACGAAAAGGUUUCUACUAAUACUAGGAGCUCAUGACGGUACUGUAAGAAUAAGCACCGGCUAACUACGUGCCAGCCGCCGCAGUAA